rnacentral:rRNA from 1 species
AUGGGGUCAAAAGCCAUUUCUCAAGUUCAUUGGAAACCCGGCGAUUCACAAUUUUGGUAUGGUGUCAUGAAGGCCAAGGAAUUCUUUUUUCAUUUUGGUACUUUCUUAGAUAGGGAUGGUUCCCAGGUUCGAUUCUGGGAAGAUACCUGGCUAGGCGCCACCCCACUUAUGGUGCAGUACCCUAGCUUGUACUAGAUUGCCACACAUAAAUUUGUCAUGAUCAAACAAGUUUUGGGACAAGAAAACUCCAAUAUUUCUUUUCAUAGGGACCUCUUUGGCCCUCGUCUGGCAGCAUGGAAUUAA